AAGGGGAGAGCGAAGGCAAAGAAAAUCAACAAAAGGAUGCAGGUGAUGGAGUGGACAUUAUUGGGUCGUCAGUGUAGUUAAGAUGCUUGUCUAGCCGUGUUACGGCAAUGUCAGUGGACAGCUGUGUUAAUGCUUGACCGCGGAGAGCCUUACCGGCAGUACAUCGGUUUGACCUUCACGAUCCCAUACCCGGGUACUGUGUUGUAGCAAUGCGCCGCCGUCCCCCGCCUGUAUAAAUCUUGACAAGCGUGACGACGAUCUGCUUGUAUUCCGCGGCAUCCGUCCUUUUCAAGCGGCUCUUGUAAGGCGUGUCAUUUACCAGCCUUCCCGAGGGGCACGGAGGAAAUAACCUAUGCAGGGUCAAGGGAAUUGCACCUACCAGGGGAAAACGUUUCCUUUGAGCGUGGACGUAGCAGAUAAAUGUGAACGAUGGAGUUGUUAUGCUGACACCAGCGUUGUGGUGGUGUGGAGAAACUCCGCAAGGCUGCUCUCUAAGCUCAAAGGGGACGAAAAGUUUGCCAUUUUGCUGCAAUACUACUUGCAACAUGAAGACAUACAUGUGUCUCACAAGCGAUGGCAGGCUGUUGAAGAAUGGAGAUGAUA